UGGAGCAGUGACAAAUUUUGGGGGUGGU
rnacentral:piRNA from 1 species